rnacentral:rRNA from 1 species
UGAGGAAUAUUGCGCAAUGGAGGCAACUCUGACGCAGCCAUGCCGCGUGCAGGAAGAAGGCGCUACGCGUUGUAAACUGCUUUUAUCCGGGAAGAAACCCCUCGACGUGUCGAGGGUUGACGGUACCGGAGGAAUAAGCACCGGCUAACUUCGUGCCAGCAGCCGCGGUAAUACGAAGGGUGCAAGCGUUAUCCGGAUUCAUUGGGUUUAAAGGGUGCGUAGGCGGAGCGUUAAGUCAGCGGUGAAAUCCUGCAGCUCAACUGUAGACUUGCCAUUGAUACUGGCGCUCUUGAGUGCGCUUGAAGUAAGCGGAAUGUGCCGUGUAGCGGUGAAAUGCUUAGAUAUGGCACAGAACACCAAUUGCGAAGGCAGCUUACUAAGGCGAUACUGACGCUGAGGCACGAAAGCGUGGGGAUCGAACAG